UUAGAUUUUAUUUAUUAAUUUUGUUUAUUUGUAUUUAAAUUAUUAAAAAUAAUUAUAUAAUUAAAAGUUCUAGUAUUGUUUAAAGAAAAAAUAAAUUUAAUAAUAGUUUAAUAGUAUUGUAAAAGAAAAUUGAAAUAAUUUGAAAAAUUUUUAAUUUAAAAGAAAAUUUAAUUUAUUGUACCUUGUGUAUCAGCGUUUAUUAAAUAAAAAAUAAUUAAUUUUAUUUUUCUCGAUUUUAAAAGAGUUAAUAUAAUAUAAAAGUUAAUGUGAUAAAAUUAUUUUAAAUAUUAUAUUAGAAAUGAAAUGUUAUUCGUUUUUAAAGGUAUCUAGUUUUUCAAGAAAUGAAUUUAAUUCAGAAAUUGUAAAUAUAUUUAAAAAAUUUUUUAAUUAAAUAAUUUACAAUUUUAAUAUUUUAUGGGAUAAGCUAUAAAAUAAAUUUUUAAAAAUAAUAAAUAGAUUUAAUAAAUAUAUGCUUAGAAUUAGCAAUUAUUUAUAAAUAUGUUAUAAUUUAUUUUAUAAAUAAAAUUAUUUAUUAUAUUUUAAAUAUUUAUUGAAAUAUUAAUUUUAAUUUUUAAAAUUAAGAAAUAAUGAUAAAAUUAGUAUAUUUUAUUGUAAAAAUAAAUUUAAAUGAAAAGUUU
rnacentral:rRNA from 1 species